rnacentral:misc_RNA from 1 species
GAGAAAGUGCUCUCACACCUACUUCCAAAAGGGUUCUCCAUUGUAGCAGGGCAAGGCAAAUCACCACUGCAGGGAACCGAAAUGUUUGGUGAGGUUUCCCGAUCUGGCUGAUUGGACAACUGGGAGACCGGGGUAGUUGAAUUUCCAAGAGCAGUGCCAGCAUUUGUCGGGCAGGACAGUAGAUACUGAGAAGCAGUGGUAUUUACAGAAGUGUUCCCUCCUUCAGGAAGGUAGGCUACUGAAGUUUGCUGAGGCAAACUGUUACCAGAGUUUCCGUCUGCAUACUGUUGAGAGAACAUCUGGGCUUCAGAUGACAGUGGGUUGUUAUACAUAUUACCCACCUGUGACUGGGAAGAUACUGAAUUUUCACUGGAAACAAGACUUUCAAAUUCAC